ensembl:lncRNA
CUCAUAUUUCCAUCAUCCUUGUCACUUUCAAAUCUGUAGUUCAGCUUUAACUGAUUCAAGCAUGUUUAUUAUUUUUCUGUUCAUGUUGUCAACUGCCUGUUUCAGUAGUUCUAAUUCAUUGAGCAGGUGAUCUAGUUCCCAGAAGACUAUAGGCCUCGAGAGAUGCUUAACUGAAAAGAUUCAGCUGAAUCAAACUUGGACAAGGAAGAAAAGAACUGGGCUCCAGAAAGGCAGAAGCCUGUUGGAAAUUCCUAACCAGCAGAGGCCAGGUGGCUGUAAUUAACAUCACAACAUCAAGACCAGAGAGAUGUUAAACACAUGGAUUUCAGAUGUGAAUUUGCCUUUGACAUACAAUAAUCUUCAGACAUUAGGAUUAGAACAAAAACUUUGCUAUGUUUCCAUUUCAUAAAGUAAGGGCAUUAUAAAACUCUCCAACCAUUUGAAGCUCUUCUACAUAACAGAAUGAGUGAAAUUCUGUGGGUUUAGAGAUUACCAGUUGAUUUCAACAGACAAUUGAAACUAUCAUGACUACUUUAUUCAGACUGAUAUUUCUGCUACUACAUUUUACAUUCUUUACAAAUCUCAGUGCUAAAAGAUAAUGAAAACCUUUUAGUAAAGCAUUCUUUACCUUCUCCAUGCCUAAUUUCAUAAUAAUAACCUGUAGGUUUGAACUCAGAGCUCAGGCUUCCUUUACCUCCCCCGAUGUGCCAUUUUCAUUUCCUGUGCCUAUUUUGUUAACCUGUCCGGAGUUAUGAAACAGAUAACAUAGAAGAGCUGAGCAUUAAUAAUCCAUUUUCACAGAUGUCAUUCUCUCUGCUUCAUUAGCAGACUUGAUCCCGUACAGCUUUCUAUAGAUGGGCCUGAAAAAUCUACCUCAAUGAAUUAGACACAAUAUGAACUCUGUCUUGGGGGUAAAAAGUGCAUAUGUUCUCCAAAAGGUACUCAUCUAGUUCUUUUCCAUUUUCACAUUUACAAGUAUUAAAUUAUCUGACUUUCAAGGUGACACCUUUGGAUCUGAGAAAAUCAGAGUGGUAGAUAAUGGAAAUAAAUCUUCAAAGACACUGGGCCAAGACAUAUGAGCCAGACUUGUAAAGGGAUUGUUUCAGGUGAUAACUAGGAAGACACCAAGAGCAGAGUUCACCUAAUUCACCAUUUUUCUUACAGAAUUAGUAGUUAUUAAUAACUAUUAGUACAGCAAGUCCCUCAAAGAGGAUGGAAAUAUUAUACACAAUUCUUUGAUCCCAAAUAAACACUUUGCCUCUUAAACUGUUUUCUAUUUUUGUAGGUUCACACACCUCAUUCCCAUUUUUCUGAAACCAGUGGUGGUUAUUAAUGACUAUGAGUACAGCAACAAGUCCCUUAGAGAGGAUGGAAAUAUUAUACCCAGG